rnacentral:rRNA from 1 species
UACGAAGGGUGCAAACGUUGCUCGGAAUCAUUGGGCGUAAAGCGCACGUAGGCGCCUUGCAAGUCGGAUGUGAAAUCCCACGGCUCAACCGUGGACGUGCAUCCGAAACUGCUCGGCUCGAGUAUGGAAGAGGGUCGCGGAAUUCCCGGUGUAGAGGUGAAAUUCGUAGAUAUCGGGAGGAACACCAGUGGCGAAGGCGGCGACCUGGGCCAAUACUGACGCUGAGGUGGCGAAAGCGUGGGGAGCAAACAGG